rnacentral:tRNA from 1 species
CGGGGCGUGGCGCAGCCUGGUAGCGCACUUGCUUGGGGUGUAAGGGGUCGUGAGUUCAAAUCUCGCCGCCCCGACCA